rnacentral:rRNA from 1 species
CCUACGGGUGGCAGCAGUGGGGAAUAUUGGGCAAUGGGCGCAAGCCUGACCCAGCAACGUCGCGUGAGGGAAGAAGGCUUUCUGGUUGUAAACUUCUUUUCUCAGGGACGAAACAAGUGACGGUACCUGAGGAAUAAGCCACGGCUAAAUACGUGCCAGCAGCCGCGGGAAUACAUAGGUGGCAAGCGUUAUCCGGAUUUACUGGGUGUAAAGGGGGUGUAGGCGGGGACGGAAGGCAGCUGUGAAAACCGCGGGCUCAACCUGUGGCCUGCAGUUGAAACUGUGUUUCUUGAGUACUGGAGAGGCAGACGGAAUUCCUGGUGUAGCGGUGAAAUGCGUAGAUAUUAGGCGGAACCCCAGUGGCGAAGGCGGUCUGCUGGACAGCAACUGACGCUGAGGCGCGAAAGCGUGGGGAGCAAACAGGAUUAGAUACCCGAGUAGUC